rnacentral:lncRNA from 10 species
CAACGUGCUGGAGCCCAGCUACGACCUUGAGCAAGCACAUCACUCUUGAAACCUCUUUCCACUUGUGAAAAAUGGAAACAGUAAUGGGGUAACGAGAUUGUUAAGAGGAUGAAAUGAGAGCUUGUGUGUAUAGGGCUAGGUUUUACCAUGAUGCAUACAUGUGCACAAAUGAUGCAGGCUUUACUUUCUCUAAUGGAUCUGUGUGUGUGUGUGUGUGUUUGUGUGUGUGUGUGUGUAAGAAGCUCCUGGGGAUCUUGCUUCUCCUCUCUCUACUUCUUCUCUACUUCCUUCUCUCUACUUCUCUUUCCCUGACUUCUCUCUCUUCCCUGAUCUUCCUUCCUAGACACACAGGACAUCCCUAACAACUUAUCCUAGAUUUUUUCUACCUAUGAAAAAAUAGGUAGAAAAGUGGAUCUUGC